rnacentral:sRNA from 1 species
GGUUCCUUUUUGUUUGAUUUUU